UACGAAGGGUGCAAGCGUUAUCCGGAUUCAUUGGGUUUAAAGGGUGCGUAGGCGGAGCGUUAAGUCAGUGGUGAAAUCCUGCAGCUCAACUGUAGACUUGCCAUUGAUACUGGCGCUCUUGAGUGCGCUUGAAGUAGGCGGAAUGUGCCGUGUAGCGGUGAAAUGCUUAGAUAUGGCACAGAACACCAAUUGCGAAGGCAGCUUACUAAGGCGAUACUGACGCUGAUGCGCGAAAGCGUGGGUAGCAAACAGG
rnacentral:rRNA from 1 species